rnacentral:lncRNA from 1 species
AUGAUAUAUUUGUUAUUGAAAAUGCACAUUGAUAAGAGCCAUGAAGACUGGGAGCUUGAUCAGCAGCGUUUCCGUGCUUGCAAAGUCAACCUGAACCCCCAGGAGCCUGUCUUCUGUGACCAUCACACCAGCAGGGCGGAGUGCUGCUACAGACAGCUGCACUUCCUUAGAACAGAAGUCCUCUUCCUCCUCCUCCCUCCAUGCCCAGCAGGGAGUGAAAACACGGACUGAAGCUGUCCCCUCUCCGACCCCUGCUCUUCAUCAGCGUUCUCAACUCCACAGGGGCUCCCAGGAAAGCUCCCAGCCCACUUUGGAAUAUAGUCUUCCUUCAGGUCACAACAUUCGCUGAUAUUUUAUAAAUAAAACUUUCUUUUACUGGUACUUGGUAAACUGAAUGAACAAGUUGUUGUUUAGUUGCUAAGUUGUGACUGACUCUUUUGUGGUCCCCUGGACUGUAGCCAGCCAGGCUCCUCUGUCCAUGGGAUUCUCUAGGCAAGAAUACUGGAGUGCACUUCCAUUUUCUUUUCCAGGGGAAUUUCCUGACCCAGGGAUCAAACCUGUGUCUCCUGCAUUGCCAGGUGGAUUCUUUACAACUGAGCCACCAAGGAAGCCCAAAUGAACAAGUACUACUCAUAAAAUAAAGAGGGAACUUGUAACUGCCA